rnacentral:rRNA from 1 species
AUUGAACGCUGGCGGCAUGCCUUACACAUGCAAGUCGAACGGCAGCACGGGAGCAAUCCUGGUGGCGAGUGGCGAACGGGUGAGUAAUAUAUCGGAACGUGCCCAGUCGUGGGGGAUAACGCAGCGAAAGCUGUGCUAAUACCGCAUACGAUCCAUGGAUGAAAGCGGGGGAUCGCAAGACCUCGCGCGAUUGGAGCGGCCGAUAUCAGAUUAGCUAGUUGGUGGGGUAAAAGCCCACCAAGGCGACGAUCUGUAGCUGGUCUGAGAGGACGACCAGCCACACUGGAACUGAGACACGGUCCAGACUCCUACGGGAGGCAGCAGUGGGGAAUUUUGGACAAUGGGCGCAAGCCUGAUCCAGCAAUGCCGCGUGCAGGAUGAAGGCCUUCGGGUUGUAAACUGCUUUUGUACGGAACGAAACGGCGAGCUCUAAUAAAGUUUGCUAAUGACGGUACCGUAAGAAUAAGCACCGGCUAACUACGUGCCAGCAGCCGCCGUAA